rnacentral:rRNA from 1 species
GUAAGAAUUUGCCUCUAGGAGGGGGAUAACAACUGGAAACGGUUGCUAAUACCCCAUAUGCUUUCGAGUGAAAUGGAUUUCCGCCUAGAGAGAAGCUUGCGGCUGAUUAGCUUGUUGGUGAGGUAAUAGCUCACCAAGGCGACGAUCAGUAUCUGGUUUGAGAGGACGAUCAGACACACUGGAACUGAGACACGGUCCAGACUCCUACGGGAGGCAGCAGUGGGGAAUUUUCCGCAAUGGGCGAAAGCCUGACGGAGCAAUACCGCGUGAGGGAUGACGGCCUAUGGGUUGUAAACCUCUUUUUUCAGGGAGGAAUCAAUGACGUGUACCUGAAGAAUAAGCAUCGGCUAACUCCGUGCCAGCAGCCGCGGUAAGACGGAGGAUGCAAGUGUUAUCCGGAAUCACUGGGCGUAAAGCGUCUGUAGGUGGUUUAAUAAGUCAACUGUUAAAUCUUGAGGCUCAACCUCAAAAUCGCAGUCGAAACUAUUAGACUAGAGUAUAGUAGGGGUAAAGGGAAUUUCCAGUGGAGCGGUGAAAUGCGUAGAUAUUGGAAGGAACACCGAUGGCGAAGGCACUUUACUGGGCUAUUACUAACACUCAGAGACGAAAGCUAGGGUAGCAAAUGGGAUUAGAUACCCCAGUAGUCCUAGCCGUAAACAAUGGAUACUAGAUGUUGGACAGAUCGACCUGUGCAGUAUCAAAGCUAACGCGUUAAGUAUCCCGCCUGGGAAGUAUGCUCGCAAGAGUGAAACUCAAAGGAAUUGNCG